rnacentral:rRNA from 1 species
UGACCUGGCCUGAAGUGAGGGAUACCGGCGAGAAAUCGCCGACAAGCCCGCAUAGGUUCUUUUGCGUAGAGGCAAGAGAGCAAAGGUCCUCUGAAAGGAGGGCUGCUUUGGGAUGGGCCUGUGGCCGAUUAGCUAGUUGGGGGGGUAAGCGCCUCCCAAGGCGACGAUCGGUAGCUGGUCUGAGAGGACGAUCAGCCACACUGGGAUUGAGAACGGCCCAG